rnacentral:lncRNA from 1 species
UGGUGAUAGAUUUGAGUGUUUCUGGGCAUGGCUCCAGGUCAUAACCAAGAUCUAGGUCCUGCCAGCAUCUUCCUGGGACGAAAUUGACAGCAAUUGUCAGAAGGCUUGUUCAGCUUGUUAAGGGUGAGCCUUCAGCUGAGGCUGUCAGUGCAACCCUGGAUGGGAUAGCUGGAAAGCAGAAAAGCCAAGGUGAGAGGAAGCAGCAGAGCUGAGGUGCAAGAAGCCAAGCUUGGCUAAGCAUUUGGGGCCUUAAGAAAUGGGAUCUGACCAGAGCAGGGCCCUGAGGUCAUGUGACCUUAGAAGUGGAAGAUGUAUUGAUCGCUUGAUCACCAAGACCUCCCACCCACUACUCCUCACCACAUAAGUAAAACAGCAGGGCCCACAGUUGGCAGUAAGAUUAUAAUUUGGUGCAACCUCUAAGGAGAGUGAUUUGGCAAGAUCAUGAAAAUCACAAAUGCUCAAAUCCUGUCUACUGCAAUUCCACUUGGCAUCUUAAAGACAAAAUGCAUAUAACUCCAUGCAGAUACACAAACAAAAUGUGCUCUAUGGCUGGUAAGUACAAAAGACUGGAAACAACGAAAUGUCCAUCAAUAGGAGAACAUGCAUUAUUGGGGAAUAUUGUGCAGUUAUGAGAAAGAAUGACAGUAAUCUCCAGGAUGCCUUGAAGCCAAGAAAGCAAGACGCCUGAAGGGCCCAUCUAUCCUGAAUCCUCCCUUUUACAAAAGGGGAGCCUAAGACCCAGAGUGAGGACUGAGUGGCAGAAAGCCAUGCCCCUGCUACUCAGAGGCAAGUUCAAUACCAGGACUGAGACUGCCUGACCCCCAGACCAGAGGUCCCUCCUCUGCACCACAACUUCCACUCUGGUUAGAUGUGGCCAGGAGCCCACAGCCUCUUAGCUUCCCCCAAUCCUAAUACUCAGCAGCUCAGAGUCAGACGUCUCUUCUACUGUCAAAUCCAGAUUCUCAGUGUCAUUUCUUCACUUCAUUUCCUCCUGCCCUGUCCUCGGCUAAACUAACGAAGAGUGCAUCACCACCACCGUUUACCUGCAGAUGGGCCAAACCUCAAAGGAUCCCUUGAGCUCAUUCCUUCCCUCUUUCUCAGAAGAUCACGUCAAUCUCACCGGACUUGUUUGUUCUAGAUCAUGAUGGCUGCUCCCAGGACAGUGUCUGUCCUGGCAAAGGUAUCUCAUAUUGCUGUUCCCCUUUUUUCUCCUUUGAAGUGGAAAAUAAACUUGCAGACUAUCCUU